GAUGAACGCUGGCGGCGUGCUUAACACAUGCAAGUCGAACGAAGCUGCCUGGAGGAAGUUUUCGGAUGGAAUUUAGGUAGACUUAGUGGCGGACGGGUGAGUAACGCGUGGAUAACCUGCCUUAUACAGGGGGAUAACGGAGAGAAAUUUCCGCUAAGGCCGCAUAAGACCACAGCACCGCAUGGUGCAGGGGUAAAAUAUUUAUAGGUAUAAGAUGGAUCCGCGUCCGAUUAGCUAGUUGGUGAGGUAAAGGCCCACCAAGGCGACGAUCGGUAGCCGGCCUGAGAGGGUGAACGGCCACAUUGGGACUGAGACACGGCCCAAACUCCUACGGGAGGCAGCAGUGGGGAAUAUUGGACAAUGGGGGAAACCCUGAUCCAGCGACGCCGCGUGAGUGAAGAAGUAUUUCGGUAUGUAAAGCUCUAUCAGCAGGGAAGAAAAUGACG
rnacentral:rRNA from 1 species